GCUCAGUGUGGGCUAAGUGGGUUGGUGAUACCCUCCCAGCUCAAGCACCACUGACCGUGGGUGAAAGUGCCUCUACAUUUGGGCCUCAGUUACCCAUCAAUACAGUGCAGGUAAUCGUAGUUAACUGUGAGGACCACCC
ensembl:snoRNA small nucleolar RNA, H/ACA box 59A